CAUCACCUCAGGGUGUGGGGUGGGUGGGGAAUGGGAGGGGUGAGAAGAAGAAAAAAAAAACCUGUAAAGCAAUUUGGAAUCAAUGCUCAUGAAAGGCUCUGCCCAGUACCCAGAGUCUCCUCAGUCUGAAUGACCCUUGACCUUCAUGUCAUUUCCAGGGAGCAGGGACCCACUUCUGUAAUGUGGGUACACGAGGCUUCAUCUGAACGCCAUGUUCCUAACUGGAUCUGUGUGGCUCUGUUCACUUAUCUGUGAUCCCUUCCAACUCUACAGUGCUGUUUUCCCAUUAAGGGUCAACUGCAGCUGAAUUUAAAUUUCAGGUUGGCUCAGAUCAUCCUCUCUAGCUGUGUGAUCUUCCCAACCCGCCAUCUAUUCCACAGAGACAGCCCCUCUCUGUAGGGGAGCUGUGCCCAUCAAAGGGAGAAGCCGCAUCAAGAGGACCUGAUGCCCCCAGAAGCCUGGAUUGCUGGAUAUGCAUGUUUCUGUGAUGUACACAUAUACUCACACAUUUAUAAAACUACUGGUAUAUGUUGUGCCCUUGGUUUUAUUCUCUGUGUAUUUGAACUUUAUAAUAAAAAUACUUUUCACUGUGU
rnacentral:lncRNA from 1 species